GUCACUGACUCGGCUGCGAUAAUGUUUCCUGGUGUUUGGAAACCUCUCUUUUUAAGAGUCUCUUCCCAGGACAGGAUUCCCUUCCCAGGACCGGAGCUCCCUCCCUACCUCCUUUGUCUCUUUUUUCAUCUUUUAUAUUUUUUCCUACCUGUUUUUGAAGCCAAUGAUCUGCUUUGCUGGGUGCCUGAUGUCCUCUGCCAGCAUUCAGAAGUUGUUUUGUGGAAUUUACUCAGCGUUGAAAUGUUCUUUUGAUGAAUUUUUGAGGGAGAAAGUGGUCUCCCUGUCCUAUUCCUCCUCCAUCUUAGGACCACCCCCAGAUAUUAGUUUAGGCUUAGGGAAACUUCAUAAUCAGAUACAGACCUUGGAACACUCUCGACUGGAUUUUACUGCCCCUGGAGCAGCUAAUGACUUUCUCCAUACUUUUUCUAACUUUAUUUCUGGAAAAGAACAUUCCUUCUACUAUUUUCACUUAUACUGCUGUUGGUGCCUUAAUUCUGCUUCUUAUAAUCAUUCUCCCUUGUAUUGUCAGGAUCCUUCAGCACAGCACUCAGAAACUCACGACUGAACUACAUCUGGCUGUUUUAAGAAAUAGAAAAGGGGGAGAUGCUGGGAGCCAGCAUGAGGAGUCCCACCCAUGGCAAAGGUCAUGAGGUUAAGGGGCCCAACAGGCAAAGGUAUAAAAGUGAAUCUGGAAAAUAAACGGAUCAGUUCCUGGAAAGACUGGUCUCCUCAUGUUGUUCUUUCUCUCCCCUUCUGGCUGAAUUCCCAUCUGGAGCGUGGAUGCCUGCCAGGCCUACUAAUUUUGUGGGGGCUUCUAAGAUCUGACCGGGGAGGCCUUUGUGUCUCCUCUCCUUCGGGAGAACAGGAAGACGCCUGUGGCCUAGGGAAGGAAUAUGGCUGAAAUUACGGGUCCCAGCUGCUCUGAGAUCCCCGCUCUGCUGAGAUGUGUGGACCUGACCUGCCAGCACAGUGAGUGAGAUGCUGUGUUGAUUGUUCUUGCAUUCUUCCAUGACCACCUGGGAGA
ensembl:lncRNA